AUUGCCUCAGUAACGGCGAGUGAAGCGGCAACAGCUCAAAUUUGAAAUCUGGCCCUAGGCCCGAGUUGUAAUUUGCAGAGGAUGCUUUUGGUGAGGUGCCUUCCGAGUUCCCUGGAACGGGACGCCAUAGAGGGUGAGAGCCCCGUCUGGUUGGAUACCGAGCCUCUGUAAAGCUCCUUCGACGAGUCGAGUAGUUUGGGAAUGCUGCUCAAAAUGGGAGGUACAUGUCUUCUAAAGCUAAAUACCGGCCAGAGACCGAUAGCGCACAAGUAGAGUGAUCGAAAGAUGAAAAGCACUUUGAAAAGAGAGUUAAACAGCACGUGAAAUUGUUAAAAGGGAAGCGUUUAUGACCAGACUUGGGCCGGUUGAUCAUCCAGUGUUCUCACUGGUGCACUCUGCCGGUCUAGGCCAGCAUCAGUUCGUUGCGGGGGAUAAAGGCGUCGGGAAUGUGGCUCCUCGGAGUGUUAUAGCCCUUCGUGUAAUACCCUGUGGUGGACUGAGGUUCGCGCUCUGCAAGGAUGCUGGCGUAAUGGUCAUCAACGACCCGUCUUGAAACACGGACCAAGGAGUCGUCUUCGUAUGCGAGUGUUCGGGUGUCAAACCCCUACGCGUAAUGAAAGUGAACGCAGGUGAGAGCUUCGGCGCAUCAUCGACCGAUCCUGAUGUUCUCGGAUGGAUUUGAGUAAGAGCAUACGGGGCCGGACCCGAAAGAAGGUGAACUAUGCCUGUAUAGGGUGAAGCCAGAGGAAACUCUGGUGGAGGCUCGCAGCGGUUCUGACGUGCAAAUCGAUCGUCAAAUAUGGGCAUGGGGGCGAAAGACUAAU
rnacentral:rRNA from 1 species